AAUGUGGUUUCCAUAGGUAAGUUAUAUGCCUUUCUGGUUUCUGACAGCACUCAAUUGUGGCACGAGAUGGUAGAUGCUAAAUUAUGAAGACCGUCAACUUGAGAAGUAAACCACAUUGGGCUCAUUUUCUGCUUCUCCAAAUAUUUGAAGCUGAACAAAUUAUUUAACUUCUUUGGAACCCUGGAUUCUCCACCAUUUCUUUACACCUGAGAAGUGAAAACUUUCAGAAGUGUGCAUUGUUGCUGACAUGGCAGGAACCCAGCCCUAGGAAUACUGAGAGAAUGAAAAACAGAUGGGUAUCACCAAUAUAUUUCUUAAAGUUUUCACAGCAGUUUAAUAAAGGAUACAUACACUGUACAAAGGCAUUAUUAACUUAUUUAACAGUCUAAAAAUUAUUUUAGAAAAUACAAUAACUAUGAAUACUAAAUACAUGGGGAGUAAAGGAAAUACCUGAUGAAAUAAAUUAAGUAAAUAUUUGUUGUGGCUGUAAAGGCAACAGCAAACACACUGGUGGAAAGAAAUAUCUAGAAAGAUUUGAACUAUAAAAAAGUAAAGGUAAGGCUAGCUAGCAACAUGUUUUCUGUAGAUACUAUAAAAACAGCAAAUAAAUCUCAUUUAGGGCCAAUAUCCUGACUUUGACCCAGUACCUUAAAUCUAUAUUUUCAG
rnacentral:lncRNA from 1 species